rnacentral:lncRNA from 1 species
ACUCAUUCUUCCAUUCAAAGCAAAGAAAUUGGAGCAGGGAAAUAAAGUAUAUAGAUUGCCAUCAGCAUUGAAGCACCGUGAACUACUUGAAUUGUAAAUGCCCCUAGCGCAUUUGGAGUGCAACGUGUGGACGUAAGUUGCUCCUAAUAAAUCAGCCCCAAAAAAUAAAGCAUAAAGGUCGUGACACAUGCUACCCUCCG